rnacentral:rRNA from 12 species
AAACUUUCAACAACGGAUCUCUUGGUUCUGGCAUCGAUGAAGAACGCAGCGAAAUGCGAUAAGUAAUGUGAAUUGCAGAAUUCAGUGAAUCAUCGAAUCUUUGAACGCACAUUGCGCCCGCCAGCACUCUGGCGGGCAUGCCUGUUCGAGCGUCAUUA